rnacentral:rRNA from 1 species
UUUUUAUAGUUUGAAUUAUAAAUAAGACCUGCUCAAUGAUCAUUAAAUAGCGGCGGAAGUCCUAAGGUAGCAUAGUCAUUAGUCUCUUAAUUGGAGGAUAGUAUGAAGGGUUAGACGAAUAGAAUAAAGUUUUAAAUUUAAUAUCUAAAGUUGAUAUGUCGGUUAAAAAGCCUACACAAAGUUUAGGGACAAGAAGACCCUAUAAAGUUUUAUUAAGUGAGUUCAUAUAAAAAUUAAUUUUCUUAAUUUUGUUGGGGCAAUAUUAUAAGAUGAAAAUCUUAUAAUUAUUCAAUACUAGUAAGAUUUUAGGAUCCGUUAAGAACGAUUAUUUGUUAAAAUUACUUUAGGGAUAACAGCACAAUUAAAGUUUUAAAGUUCAUAUUUACAACUUUGGUUAUGACCUCGAUGUUGGAUUAAUCUUCGAGAUGGUGCAGAAUCUAUCUCAGAGAGUCUGUUCGACUCUUUAUAAGUUACA